GGAAAGAGAGGCCCAUUGGACUUGCAAACUUUAUAUGCCUCAGUACAGGGGAACGCCAGGGCCAAGAAGUGGGAGUGGGUAGGUAGGGGAGUUGGUGGGGAGAGUAUGGAGGACUAUUGGAAAUGUAAAUGAAGAAAAUACCUAAUUAAAAAAAAUAAAAGAAAUUUAAAAAAAGAAGAAAGAAAAAAGAAAUCAAGUCAAACACUUUUUUCGGGGGACUGGAAAGGACAGUCUUGGUAGGAGAGUAGUGGUGUCUAGAAUGGGAACAGGAGAAGUAAGUAAAAUAAGACUUUAAAAAAUAUUAAAUUGCUUGGGAAUGGAGAAAUUGGCUCAGUUGUUAAGUGCUAGAGCCCUUGCUGCUAUUGUAUAGGGCCUAAGUUCCAUUCCCAGCAUCCAUUUGAGUAACUCACAACUACAUGUUAAUCUAGCUCCAGGGAAUCCAGCAUGCUGUUCUGGCCUCCAGGGGCACUUACAAACACACACACACACACACACACACACACACACACACACACACACACAGAUGUAUGUGUGUAUAAAAAAUAAAAUCUCUAAAUGAAAUUCUGUUGUUUACAGGAAGAAAAUGACAACCGAUUUUAUAUUUUGCAAUGACAGCAAAGCAGAGUUACCCUCUCUGCUCUCUGAUAGCACCAUCUUCCAUGCAAACUGCACUCAAACCCGUGUCAAGAUCUGCUUUCUGGGAAUCAAACUCAAGAUAUCUAGUUGAGCAUCUGUAACUUUGUUAUUAGCUAUCUUCAAAUUAAGGAUUGUCAUGUUUUCCUGGUGAGUUGACCCUUUAGUCAUAAUUGAGGCUUCCAUUUUUCCCUCUACUGUAUUAAUUUAUCCAAUGUCAAUGUUGAGACCUGAAUUUCCUUUUGACUAUCUGUGGGUUAUGUCUGGUGCCAUACUUUUACUUUUAACUUAUCUGGACUUCUGAGUACUUGUAUUUACAUUGCCUUAGAAAGCAUCAUUGAUC
rnacentral:lncRNA from 1 species